CGUGGGUUGCUAUCCAGUGUGGGAAAACGAAGAUCGGAGAGGAAGAAGAAGAUGGAGAUAGAGAGAGAGAGAGAGAUAUGCACCAGACCCGAGUCUGUCUAGAUCAACCGCCCUUUUUCUAAUCGAGUGAGAGGAUCGGCUGCGUACAAAUUUCAAACCAGUUUCAGUAGGAGUCAUCAUGAAGAGGCUUGGCAGCUCAGAUUCUUUGGGUGCCUUGAUGUCCAUCUGCCCAACCAAAAAAUAGAUGAACAGAGUCCAAGAAACAACCAUGUUUGCAGCAGAGACUUCCAGUCCAUGCUGAGUGAUUGGAUUCAGAUUUUUGUUGGAACUGGUUUGGGCCUCUAUUUGGGCCGGGUGUAGAGCUGAUCACUGCUCUGGCCCAACUUAGGUGUAUAAAGCUCUUAUAAGAAAAUAUUUUUAAGUUGAUGGAUUGAAUAUCAGUAUUAAUUAAGUAAAUAACAACUAAAGUUAAAUUUUAUUAA